rnacentral:rRNA from 1 species
GACACGCUGGCGGCGUGGAUUAGGCAUGCAAGUCGAACGGUAUCAUCCUUUCGGGGGUGAGAGAGUGGCGAACUGGUGAGUAACACGUAGGUUAUCUACCUCAAGACGGGGACAACCCAGGGAAACUUGGGCUAAUACCGGAUGUGAGCAACUUUUAGUUGUUUGAAAGGUGGCGUAAGCUGUCGCUUGGGGAUGAGCCUGCGUCCUAUUAGUUAGUUGGUGAGGUAACGGCUCACCUAGGCAAUGAUAGGUAGGCGGCCUUAACGGGUGGUCGCCCACACUGGGAUUGAGAUACGGCCCAGACUCCUACGGGAGGCAGCAGUCGAGAAUAGUCUACAAUGGUCGGAAGACUGAUAGUGCGACGCCGCGUGAACGAUGAAUCCCUUCGGGGUGUAAAGUUCUUUUAUAUGUGAGCAGUGCUUCUUAUAUUAACAGUAUGGGGAGAGAGAUAUUAGCAUAUGAAUAAGCAACGGCUAACUCCGUG